UUGAACAUAACGGCACUUGAUUGGCGAUAAAAAAAAUUAGGUUUAAUUUUCACGUGCGUUUACAACAUAAAAAAACUGAAUGUAAUAAGAUCUGUAACAAAAAUGAGAGAAGAGCAGAUCUUGAGACUAUGGCGGCAGAUGAAGAAGAAACAUGGCGCAGACAGAAUAUCGAAGCACGAAUGGAAGAUCUUACGCGCAGACUUCCUAAGGAGUUGGAACACACUAACAUUCGAUAAGUUUUCUAAAGAUCAAUUGGCCGAAGCUACUUUGCGCGAAGAACUGCAAGAGACGACUCGGGCGUACUCUGGCCUUGAAAAAGGACUUGCAUCGCGUCUAUCAACGCGUAGACGAAGCACUAAACUUGAGACCAACCCGAUAGCAACUUCUGAAGGAUCUAUUCCGCCUGCUCAGGAGAACACUGGCUCAUCACAGCGUAAGCCCAGUUCGCUUCCUUUGGUCCUCUUUGGGCUUGAAAAGGACCAAACGCAAUCAUCAAAGCCAAGCCGCAGCGCGGUCAAAGCUCGGAAACCAGUAGCAACGCCUGACAAAUUAAUUGCGCUUCCUCGAGAGCCCACUAGCCUUGAAAAUGGUGACCAAUCGCGAUUAUUGAAUCGUAGACCCAAUUCCAGAGGUACACCAAAACUGGCACCGACUACUGACGGACACAUUGAGCUUGAAACAGGGGACCAAAAGCGAGCAUCAAAGGCUAGCCAAAGCAGAGUUAAAACUGAGGUUAAAUUGUCAGCGAUCUCUGACAGCUCUGUUCCGCCUACUCAGGAAAUCACUGGCUCAUCAAAGCGUAAACCCAUGUCGCUUCUUCUGGACCACUCGGAGCCUGAAAGCACGGACCAAUCGCAAUUGUUGAAUUGCAGGCCCAGUUCCAGGCCUAGACCAAAACUGGCACCGAUUCCUGACGGACACAUUGAGCUGGAAAAAAGAGACAAAAAGCGAGCACCCAAGCCUACACAAAACCCAAAACACAAAAAAUUCAUGAGUGAGGUAAAAUCGGCAGCGAUUUUUUACAGCUCUAUUCCGCCUACUCAGGAGCACACUGGCUCUUCACCUCCUCUAGACCGUGCUGGCACUGAAAAGGGAGAAAAAUCGCAGUCACCAAAGCAUAUAACGAGUUUGCUUCCUCUGGAUUUACUUGGGACUGAAAAGGGGGAUCAAUCAGGAUCAUCAAAGCAUACCUCUGUUAAACCACGGACAAAAUCGCCGGCGACUCCUGACGGAGAUAUUCCGCCAUCGACUCUUAAAGGAUCUAUUCCGUCCAGCCCUGUACUUGAAGAGGCGGACUUUUCGUGUUCAUGGAAGCUUACAAAGUCUCGUAAACAGCGCGAUCGCAUCUUAGAAAGGCAACGUGAAGAUGUCGAAAACUUCCUUGAUGAUGUGCCCUUGUUUGAAUUGCGGAAGCACGUAACCAAAACAAAUGGGACUGAAACUGAGGGAAAAAAUAAUAAAACCAUAGAAAACAAUAGCCCCUCAAAGUCUCCAGUUAAGCGUAAACCAGCAGACACCAUACCAAUCCCACUGCAGCCAAUCAAGAGAAGGAGACAAAAACAUGUUCCAGUAAAAGUUGUACGCUGUAUUUUGGAAUAUAUACAUCCUAAUAGAUUUUUUUUGUUGCCACAGAUUAGCCACCAUUUGGAGAGCGUUCCUUUCAUGCCUAAGAUUGAAAUGGUUCCUGCUCCUACCGAUUUAAGCACUGACAUAUUGGAGGAAUCUGCAGAGAUAGGGAUAGCUGUGCGAAAGAUCCAAGAGCUCAUGGAUUUAGAAAAGGAAGCAGAAAUAGUGGACGAUGAUCCGGAGUUUGUCGAGAGUCCCAUAACGGCGUGCUGUACUGACAAAAAGAUCGAUUUAAGCCACGAGAACAAUGUAGAGCACACUGAGAUAAUGACUCUUUUCGAAUUGGGUGAUGAAGGCGAUCGUACACCUGAAAUAGAUCGUUGCCUGAAAAUCUUUACCACUAAAACGCCAAGUGAAAUCGACGAUCAACUGGCCGUCACAACGGAGUUCUUCGAACGGUUGCCAAAUUCGUCCACAGUCGAUUUAGAAAAGGCAGACCUCAUGGAGGAGGAGGAGGAGGUCCUUGACUAUGAAGAGGAUGGAGACGUGGACGAUGAUGUCUUGUCGGUUACGGCGACAUCUUGGGAUGACAUGGAGGAGGAGGAAAAACAACCAGAGCCCUCAAAAGCUUCAUUGAGAAAUUUUCGUAUACCUCGACUUACCAAAGAAAUACUCCAGUCGCAGCCGAAAAUAAUGUGCUCGCUGUACAACAAUGAGGCACUCAACGAAAAGGAACAAGAGGAGCCACAGAGGCAGACAUUAAAGCAACGAAAAUCAUCAGGGUCUGCUACAUCUACACCAUCUGCUUCACCAUUCGUGCCUCCUCUAGCAUUGGCGUCUGCUCUACCAUUGGAGGCUACCCCAAUAAUCCAGCCGCUGUACGACCAGAGGCAGAACAUAUUUGGCCAUAACGCGAAUCCAGUGGCUCCAGCUAUAACUUUGGCGCCGCCUCCAGCUGCAGUACGCAAUCCAACAAUACACACGCUUAACGAAAAAGCACAGAGGAAGAUAAAGGGAAUUUCACUUACGCAAACUCAAUAUUCAGUGCCUCCUUCAGCUCUAUCUAUAGCGCCGUCUCAAACUUUAGUACGUAGUCCACUAGUAAAUUCGACAAACGACCAGGAAGGGAGAAAGAUUCAUGUGAAUUCACUUGCACAAAACAUAUAUACAGCGCCUUCUCCAGCUUCAGUCGCACAAACGCUAUAUUCAGCGCCUCCUCAAACCAUAAGUCCCCGACAGGAUAACCGAACAUUGACGAUGCAGCAGGCUGCAACAGUAAUGCCAUCGCUUGGCAAUCCACGUACCCAGGCAAUUACUGCUCGGCAUGUGAUCGAACCCGUACCGAAAUUUGAUGCGCCUUAUCGUUCAACUGCUGCGACUAUGCAAACUAUUCGUACGGACAGGACCAAGUGGUUUAGUGAUGAGUACUGGAUGUUGAAUUUGUUUGGAGUCAAGUGCUUGGAAAAUCUAGACGAUGUGUGCAGCGCCCAAAGCUGUAAUCAUACAUUCACCGGCAUCGGAGAGUUAAGCCGGAAACUGAUGAGACUGGAUGUGGAUAGCCUGUUAUUCACAUAUCAACAAAUGCUAAUGCGUAGUCAACGUCUCUUCCUGACAUUCGCUCCGGUUUAUGUUGAUAUAUUUGAAGCUAAAAAUCUGCAGAACGACUUGCUGCACUUGCUGAUGGAUUGUCGAUUGUACAAGUCACUUUGUGCUUCCAUUAUUAAUAAAGCCUUUACUGCCUUGAAAAACAUGGGCUUGGAAACGCAGGCCACACUUUGCAUUAUGGAAUACCUAUGGAUGCCUCGUAAAGCGCACAACUUUACGGAAACGACGUUAACAAUAUUAAAAGUUCUUGGAUCCUCUAAUUGGUACAACUAUACUGAUAAAAUGGUAGAACUAUGCCAGAUAUAUGGGGUCAGUUUACCAACUGAGGUAUUAUUAACCAUUCUCUCGGCGGCCAACGAGAGACACGAAUUGAAAAGCGAGGCAGUAAAGUUCUUUUUGGUCAUGGGUGUGGCCCCUGAGGAAUUGAGAGAAGAGCUGACGGCUGCUAUCAAGCUAUUUGCGGAAAAAGAUAAUUAAUUCUUAUGCUGUUGAUCAGCAGAAUCCAACCCUAAUGAAGAUGUAUUUAGGUUCGGAAUUAUAACAUCCCAUCGGACUUGGUAUCAUUACGACGGUAAUGAUAUUAAAACUCAUAUUUAGAAAUUUACAAACAUGUUUGUAUUACGAACACUAUGAUAAUUAAAUAAAACAGGACAUAAGAAAAUAGGUGUGUACUUGCAAUAUUUCCUGCUUUCAGUUGUUCACUUUUUUCUUGCCGACAGUUCCUACCUAUUACCUAUGGAUCCCCAGUAAAGCGCAUGAGUUCAAGUAAAUGACUAUAACAAUGUUUCGAGUUGUAACUGACACAAUGGUUCUCUUUACCAACUGAGAUAUGGAGAACCAUUCUUAUGUCGCUCAUGCGAAUCGACCCUGGGGCGAAAAUCCGAGAGCUGAAGGCACAGUUUAUCAAGCUUGGAUUCAAUGAAGCCCUUAAUAGAAAGAAGCCACACUUCAUACGGCGACAUACUCUUGAGCCCUUCUUACGCUCCCUGAGAGCUAAAUGCAACUGAAGAGA
rnacentral:misc_RNA from 1 species